UUAUUCAAUAAAUGCUUUCUAAGGGUCUAUUUUGGGUCAAGCCCUGGGCUAAGUGCUAGACAUAAUGAAUAGAAACAGGGACAUUAUCCUUGCUCUGAUGAGUUUACAGUCUGGUGUGAGAGGCAGAUUUUCACUACAGAUCCCACAUGAAUGUAUUCUCAUGACUUCAAUGAAAGCUCUAGACUCCCAUGGGGACCUAGGCAGAGGAAGUGACCCCAGCAAUGGAGGUGUGGAGGCUUCCUUGAGGAGCCGAUGUGAAGGAUGAGUUUUCUAGGCAGAGAGAAGAGGAAUGAACACACCAAGUAGAGGGAACAGAAUAUGCAAAGGUCUUGGGGUGGGAGGAAGAGGGGCACUUUCACAGAAUUUGACAGGAAUAGUGUGGCUGAGACAGGGAGUGGAAAAAAUGAGCCAGAGGUUGACAGGGGUCAGAUGUUCAGAGCUCUUAUCUGAGGUGAGAGUUUGGAUCUUUACUCCAAAAGCAAGGGGAUAUUAUAGAAUAGUUUCAUCUGGAGGCGGAGAUGGUCAUAGUCAGUUUGGCUGUUGAUGCAGUCAAGGUCAGGACAGGAGAUACUUUGGGUGAGCCUUCUCUAGCCCCAGGUGAACUAGGGAGGCUGGGAAAAAGCAGAUUGUGUCAGAUGCAGAAUUAGUCCUAGGGCCUGGAUUGGCAUCAGGUAACUGCUCUGGCUUCCGCAAGGGAGAUCAUCUUGCCUGCAGAUCUCCUGUAUGGGUCAGAGGACCCUGUGGGAUGAGGAAGGUGGAAGGAGCAUGGCUAAGAACUUUGGCCUUGGAGUCAGCCAGAUAUGCCUUUGCUGUUUACCAGCUAUGAGACCCCAGGCAGGGGUUUGCAGCUGUUCUGAGCCUGUUUCCUCAUCUGUAAAGUGAUGAUGAUGAUGAUCAUAAAUGUGCUUUUUGUCUGCCUAUCAUCCCUUUUUCAUGCUAAGUAGGAAAUUGCCAUUGCAUGUGGUUCUGGUGGGACUGGCAAUUACUGUGCCCCAUCUACCCAUUGGACACGUGUUCCAGGCCUAACUAAUCAUUGUGCCCCAUGUCCCUGUCCCCAGGGAUCGGCAUAAAGAAGUGGCCUAAGUAGGGCCAAUCAGAGACCUGCCAUGGGAUCUGAUAUGGGGCUGUUGGCAAAGAGAGCCUCUCUUGGUUUUAGAUUAUUAGAGCAUAGGCUUGAGCUACUGGUAUCCAAGUUUCCUGGGGGAACAAAAAUCAGGGAGAUGACUAGGGGAGGAAGAGAAGGAGAGAGAAUAAGGGGUAGAAGGGGAGAAUAAGAGAAAGAAAGAACUCCAUACCCUAGAUACAACAGUCCCUGAAGCCUAGGACACCCCUUGCACUUCUCAGUUAAUGAAUCCAUCAAUGCCCAUUCUGGCUUAUGCCAGUUUGAGUUGGGUUUUGUCACUCGCAAUGGAUGUGUUGUGCCCAAUGUAUGAUGUUACUAGGUUAUUGUGAGUGCCAAUUUAGCUGAAGCACUAAAAGCAAAUGUAAAGUGCUCAGCAUGCAAAGUGCUCAGUAAUCACUCACUGGGAUUUUUGUUCUGGUAACAAUUCAUAGCUGUAAGAUACAUUACUAGAGUAUAUACUGCUUCUUACCUGUGGGGGGGGGGGGUGGCCUCAUGUGGCUCCACAGAGGGCCAUGUGCCACCUUAGCGAUCCUGUGUAGAAGCCUCAGAUAGUGACCUGAGUCCCCCUUCCCUACCUCUCCUUCUCCCUCCGAAAUUUGUGACUGCUGUGUCCCUUGGGGCUUUCUUGAAGUGAUGGUGGCAGCAAGAAGAGAACAAAUGACCUGAAGGAUGUGACUAUGUUUAUAUCCAACUCAAGAAAUUCGUUCCCCUUCUACUUCAGAGCAGCUGAUUUCCCAUGGUCUUUUUAAUGAAAUGUAUCAGUUAUCUAUUGCUGCGUAACAAAGCCCAAACUUAGCAGCUGAAAGCAACCAGAGAUGUAUUAUCUUGUGGCUUAUGUGGGUCAGGGAUGCAGGGAUAGCUUUGCUGGGCAGUUUUAACUCAAGGGUGCUCUGUGAAGCAGAAGUCAAACCAGUGGCCAGGGCUGCUGUCCUCUGAAGGCUUGAGUGGUGCUGGAGGAUCCACUUACAAGAUGGCCCUACUCUACUCAUGUGGCUGUUGGAAGAAGAUUUUAGGUCCUCCCCACAGAGCUGCUUGAGUGUCCUCAUGAUAUGGCAGCUGGCUUCCCCCAGAUUGAGUGAUCCAAGAGAGAGGAAGAUGGAAGCAAUAGUUUUAGGACCUCAUCUUUGAAGUCACAAAUGUCAUUUCUGCAAUAUUCUUCUGAUUAUACAGUUCAUCCCUGUUCAGGGUGGGAGAAGGUGCCCAAAGUUGUGAAUACUGGGAGGCUGGGGACAUUGGGGGCCAUCUUGAAGGCUGGCUGCCACACCUGUGGUGUGGUGUUUUUUAAAAAAAAAUUUUUAAGCUUUAUUUAUUUUUGAGAGUGAGAAAAAGACAGAGCAUGAGUGGGGGAGGAACAGAGAGAGGGAGACACAGAAUCUGAAGCAGCCUCCAGGCUCCGAGCUGUCAGCACAGAGCCCGAUGCAGGACUUGAACUCAUGAACCACGAGAUCGUGACCUGAGCCGAAGUCAGACACCCAACUGACUGAGCCACCCAGGUGCCCCUGUGGUGUGGUAUUUUUCAAGGUCAUUAAAGUUUCUUCUUAUUCUGAUGGGAAUUCUCUUCCUCAAAGAGGUCUUUGGAUGCCCAAGAUAACAUGGUGUCUUUAAGGCACCAAAACACCCCUUCUAACAACUUGUUCUUGAAAAAGCUUUUUACAGAGCUUGCGAAGAGCUUCUUCAACUAGUGAAAUGACUAAACUAAUUUGCUGGUCUGUAAUUUCCUGGCAUGCCUGGAGAUUUCCUAAUAAAUACUAGCUUCAGGAUGGCAACCUGCCAGCAUUACGGCCUUCUCCUGAGCAACAAGCAGGGGAUGUGAAAAGCAUCUUGGAGCGUUGGGAAGGCUGGUGCCUUGCAGGGAGAGAGCACAGGACCUGGAGGCUGGAUGUUUGGUUUUGAAAGCUGACCCUGCCUCUUACCUACUGUAACACCUACCAUACCUACCAAUACCUAUCAUAUUUCAAGAAAAAUACUUGCCUCUCUGUGCCUCAGUUUCUCCCUCUCGGAAGAAUGGUGACAACCCUGAUUUUCCCUGACCCACGUGGCUAUUACGAGGUUUGAGUGAAGUGAUGUAGCAUUUUAAGAGGGAGGCCCAUGAACACUAGCACUAAGGGCUGUUAACCUCAAAGGGGAUUAUGUGCCGAAGUGAGUGUGGAGGACUGUAUUGGAACAGUCCAACUGUUUUCCAUUUCCCUUGACUCCAGGCAGGGCCAGAGCAUGGCUGUGCUGGCAGAGCAGCCACACAGGCUUCUUACAUUUGGGGUUUCAUGCCCUGCAGCUGUGGUCUUGAAAUUCUUCAUAAUUUUAUCUUUGAAGUUGUGUUUUGUAAGUGAAGUUUGAGGGGACAAUAGAGCAUGUGCCGGAGGCUUGGCGUCUCAACUUUCAAGAGUGUGCCUCUUACUGUCUCCUAAACGGUGAGCUCUUGGCUGCCGUCUUCCCUCCCCUGGCUCCCCGUUCUCUGCCCUGCCCAGUAACCAUGUCAGCAGGGUACUCAGAUCAUGGAGUUCAGGACCGUGACUGGUUGGCAUUGGCAGGGGGCAAGGGAGGGGGACCCGAUUCUGCUGCCACCCUCUGCCCCCCACAGAGGCCUGGGCACGUGUGAAGGGAGGGCUAGGGUCAGUGCCCAUCUCGUGAUGUCACAGGGCAGGGAAAGGAGGCAGCUAUCCCCGUGCUGGGCUGGAAGCACCAUGGCACAUUUAGCAGGAAACCUGGUGGGGGCCUACUUCUGACCCAGGUACCAAGGAGGUUGUAAUUCCUUGGGGAUCACCCAACUGCUCUGUGUUGGGACGCCAUGGGAAGAGGAGAUUAGCUUCCCCACCACCAACUAGGGCUCUGCAUUAUCAUAUUUUGUAGCUGAUCCUCCUGCGGAACUUGUCAGAUCCUUUAAUAUAGGAGAGACUAAACUGUAGUGGGUCAGAGUGCAGACUUGAGAGCUGGACUGUCUGGUUCUGGGUUCUGGCUCUACUCCUUACCAGUGUUGUCACCUUGGCCCAUUUUCCUAACCUUUCUGUGUUUAGGUUUCCUCAUCUCUGAAAUAAUGAUCAUGUGGUUCCUACCUCCUAGGUUUCUGUGAACGUUAAAUGAGGAGACAAGGCAUCUAGACUAGCCCUCCCCGUGUAGUGAAUAUUAGCCCAAGAAUUUGAUGCUUCCUUCUCCUGAAGGACUGCAAAGUUCCUGGGGCAGGAACGCCAUCCGUAACAGGCUGCAGCACCACACGUCAACAGACUCAAUGAAUACUUGUUGAAUGAAUGGAUCUCCACGAGGGGCCUCCCAUAGAGUACCCACCCCGUCCCCUUUUAUUCCAGAGAAUCUUACGCGAUCAGCAGUCCAGUCUCAAAGGACAUGGAGACACAGCAUCUUGUCCCUGUUCAUUCAUGGUCUCCUGACAGUGGGGAAGGAGCACGCAGACACCCCAGAGGCUCUCACCAGCCUCCUGUCUGGGCCCAUCUAUCCUGCUGGGAAUAGCUUUUCUAGACCCCCCAGAGGCCAUGCGAUAACUCACUCCUUCUCCCCAGCCUCUCUGCCCUUAAUUGGGCCAAUCUGUCUGCCUGACACCCUGCUCUGGUUCGUUUUCUUCACAAAGCCGUCUCUUGUCAGUUGACAGAUUUUCAACUGUCUUGAGCACAUUUUUCAAUUUGUGCUCUUCCAGUAAUUUCCCAACCAGGUUUCUCUUUUUAAAGCUACUUAAUUUUAUAAUUUCUAAAUGAUUUUCCUCACCUGCCAUGAUUCUUCUCCACCCCCACUCCUUGGCUUUUUUUCCGGUGACUUGCAUUUCCUCAGCCCUGAAGCCAUGCAGGUGUGUGGGGGACCCUUUAAGGAAGCCUGAUUUUUUUUCAGCUAUAGGGAGGAUUACUGUCUUAAGCUUUUUGGGUUCCUCCAAAAGCUGGCCGUGAGCUAAGGGCAUGGGUACAGCAGUUUGUUUGGGAAGUGAUCCAGGAAGCAGGAAUGAGGGGGCGAUGAGAGAGAGAAGGAAGAAGAGCUGAGAACAUGCCUUAUUUUCUGGUUACCCACUGGGUAAUGUGCAGGGAACCGUAGACAUGGAAUGUACUUUGCAUUGUCCCACGAGAGGGAGAGGAGACUGACUGCCACUCCCCGCCCCCACUGGAGGGUUGUCCCUGGGAAAAUUAACUUCCUUGAACUUCUGUUGGUGCCUGGGCACCUAAGCGGCCUCUCCUGGCUUUGGAGAAAAGUGUGGUUAGUGCUAGACCUUAGAAACAGCCGUUGAACAUUCCAUCAGAGCUCAUGUGCCACAGAAGUUUUCUACAGACAGUUACACAUUCGAGACUCCUCGGAGCUGGAAUUGUCUCCUUGAAGGAGUGGACUCCUUCAUUUUCCCCUUUUUUUUUUACUUUUUUUUUUUUUAAUGUUUAUGUAUUUUUGAGAGAGAGAGAGAGCAUGAGCAGGGUAGGGGCAGAGAGAGAAGGAGACAUAGAAUCCAAAGCAGGCUCCAGUCUCUGAGCUGUCAGCAAAGAGCCCAACAGGGGGCUUGAACCCACAAACCAUGAGAUCAUGACCUGAGAAGAAGUCAGACGCUUAACCGACUGAGCCACCCAGGUGCUCCUUUUCGUCUUCUUUUUAAGCCUCUGAUUGUGAAGGUGUUUUGCUGCCUUCAGGGCAGGCCCAAGCCAGUUGGGGCCCCUAUGGGAGGGACUGUUGGGUCCCCAGUAAGAAAGGGACAUUCAGCCAGGCAGUUCUACAGUGUGUUUCCAUCUCUGGGGAUCAGUCUCCUGAGAGGAGGGUGUUGAUGUUUUCAGAUAAGAAAGGAAUGCAUCUCCCUGUGACUCCCAGGGCCCAUGACUGCAUUUGGGUGGUGUCUGAAUUGCAAAAUUAAUGAAAGGCACACUACUCCAUGUAUUGACACGUCUGAAGAUGAUGAGGCAGGAACGUGAAUUGCAUCUGUCUCCUCCCCACGUCCCCUGAUGACAUGCUGAGUGGAUCCCAUAGGUUGCUGCUCUAUUUGGAUAUAGAAAGGUCCAGUUUUAUCUCUUGUUUCAUUUCCUCCCUCUGCCCUGCACAGGUUUGACUCGGCCCGAGGGGUUUGAAGUGAAGAGAGAACUUGGUCUGUCUGAAGGAUCCCUUCUCCUCCUCCCCCUUCUUUCUCCCCUCCUCUCUCCUCAGGCAACCCCAGGAACAUCACUGACACUGUGGCACAGCCCUGGGAUGGCCUGCACACAGAAGAUGACGUGAGGGUGUUCCAUGGAGUAUGCGGCAGCCCUGUGUGCUGGGACAGAAAAAAGGGACUGGAGAAAAGGAACACGUUUGUUUUUACUCAACCAGAACUGCGCGAGUCCUCUCUCAGCGAAUACUGGUUCGUCUGCACGCAUGCCAGCACAGCUGCCAACCUGGAACACAGCCCUUUCCAAGAAAGCCCAGGAGAGCAGCCAACUGUUGACUCACCUGCCAGACACGGGGAUACUGCAGCCAAGAUGCCUCGGGGCCCUUGCAGGAGGAUUGGCAGGGCAGACCCAUGGUGGGGCACACACAUGGCUCUGUGGGGCGCUUCAAAGGGCCAGGCCUUCUUUCCUGAGUGCUUCAAGUUCCAGAGGUUAAAGACAACCAGAUGGGCUUGUCCCCUCCCCCUCCUCCUCUGUUCUUCAGCCCUGGAAGUUUCUGCAGGAGACUGUCUGCCUCUGCAUUUCCAUUUGGGUGGCAGGCAGUAUUCUAAGAAAGCCCCCAUGAUUUUCUGCCCCCACUCCUGCCCUGGUGUGCACUCUCCAUCGGGACUGAGAAUGUAAUGGACGGCACUGCCCUGGUUAGAUUGUAUUAUACGAUGCAGCUGACCUUAAAGAAAGGAGAUGUUCCUGGUGGUCUGGUCCAAUCACAAGAUCCCUUUAAAGGCAGAGUUUUUGUCUGGCUGGUGACAGAAGAGCAUGUGAGAGGUUCAAAGCUGGAGGGUUUGGCCCACCCUUUCUGGCUCGAAGAUGGAGGAAGCCCCAUCGCAAGACAUGCAGGCAGCUUCUAGAAGCUGAGUAGCCAUCAACUCAUGUCCAGCAAAGAACCAGGGGCUUCAGACCCACAAUAGCAAGGAGCUGAAUUCUCUCAACGAUGAACAUGAACUUGCACAUGGCUUCUUCCUUAGAGCCUCAGACAAGAACUGGGUCCAGUGAGCACCAUGACUUCAAAAUUCUGAUACCCUGAGCAGCAAAAACAUCUGAGUUUACUCGGACUGUGACCUACGGAAUGCCACCAUGUUUCAAGGACACUGAAGGGGAGGUCUGCUGGGCAAGAACUGGGGCCUGUCACCAACAACCAGUACCAACUUGCCAGCCAUAUGAUUGAGCCACCUUGGAAGUUGACUUCUGGUCCCAGUCAAGCCUUCAGAUGACAUUAGCCCGGGCGGAAAUCUUAACUGCAACCUUGGGAGAUGGAUGGCAGGUCAGAACCACCUAGUCAAGCUUCUCUCCAACUCCUGUCUCACAGAAACUGUGGGAGAUGCUGCAUGUUUAUUGUUACCCUAAGCUAUUACAUUUUGGGGUAAUCGUUAAGCUGUACUAGGUAACUAAUAUGCUAUAGUAAUUAAUGCUAAUAUUUAAUUUAACACUAAUAUUUACCCAGGACUUUUCGAGUUGGAAGUGAUGAAAAUCCAGUUCACUGGUGAGAAAGGGAGAGAGAGAGAGAGA